UGGCGAAAAAUACCUGUCUCGGUACGGUACGUCGCUAUCUUGUUUGUCAUGUGAUUACCUCUUCUGAUUAUAGAAGCCUACUGAUAGCAAUAUCACAUGUUGCUGUUGUUUAACAUGGUCGAAAUGUUUAAACUAAAUUAUAUUACAAUAAUAAACCCCGAUCGACUUCAAAAAUUUUAUCUGAUGUGGACACGUUCUAACGAAAUGAUUGACCUCCUUUAGAGAACUAUAAAGAAGGCCUUUAAGUGAAGGCAAAUAAACAGAUGUACAGAUUGAAAGUUGGACAGACAGACAGCAAUAACAGAUGGACAGGAAACCUAUGGUCCUUUCCAGUGAUAUUGAUUUCCACAGAAGAAUUGAAUGAACAAGACUAUUGUGUAAUAUAUAUGGAGCACAUCUGCGAUCCGAAAAAGCUAGUGUGCGGUCACAUUUUCUGUAGAUACUGCAUCGACCAAUCACUAAGUUAUAAGCCAUGUUGUCCUACAUGUCAACGGGUAUGUGGAAUAAUCACAGGUGAUCAACCACCAGGGACGAUGACUGUUCAACAAAUACAUGGGUUUUGUACUGGAUACGAAAUAGUUGUAAAAAUUAGCAUCAGAUACGAGUUUUUUGAAGGACGACAAUUGGCAACACAUCCAUCUCCUGGUAAAAUGUAUAAGGGGAUAACCAAAACUGCAUUUCUUCCUGACAAUUAGCAAGGACGUAAUAUUUGCAGAAUGCUUAAAGUUGCCUUUGCAAGGAAACUUGUUUUCACCAUUAGAAACUCACGCACAACAGACCAGGAUGGAGUGAUAAUUUGGGACAAUUUCCCCUCAAGACUAACUAUAGGCCAUAUUCCCGGUAUGAUUUCUUAAAAAUAUGUUAUAUUUAAGAUACAAUUAUACAAUUAUGAAAUAAGAUACACAUACAUGUGAUGAAUUGAAAGAAGAUGCAUUUUGUUUGAUUAUAUAAUUAUCCAUCGAACGUUAUAUUACAUAUAUUUUUUUACAUAAUAGUAUAUUGAUGGUUUGAAUGAAAACAAUUAUCACAAAAGUAAAAUUUUCGUUUGAAUGAAAAACCAAAAUAUCAACAAUGUAAAUUAUGGUUCAAUAAUCAUUUUAAAAUAAUUGUUUCCAUUAAAGGUUUGGUUAUCCCGAUCAAACCUAUCUGGACAGAGUGACCGAAGAGCUCAAAGCUCAAGGUAUUAUGCUGGAUGAUAUUAACCCAACAGAUAAACUGGAAGGAAUCAUAACAACGGAUUGAUUUGUAAUAUUAUGUUUUUAUUAUGUUAAGGGGCAGCGCUUGACUGUCAACAAUUGUACAAUAUAAGGGUAACAACUUAUUGACGUGUGUGUUAGAACAUGAGAUCAGAUAUAUUAGCAUUGUUUGUGUACAAAUAUAUAGUAGUAUGUUUAGUAGUUGUGGCUCCGGCUUGAUGUGAGGUAACAAUAUUUUGAGAAUGAAGAUACUUAAAGCCUUAAAUCAUAGCAAGAAUGUUAUAUUGGCAUGAUAUUUCGAUAUCAUAAACCGCAGUGGAACGGUAACUAAAAUUUCUGGACGAUUAUGUAAUAAUAGGCAAUUGAAAGAAUUAUUUAUGUUUUAAUUGGUUGGCAUCUUUGUUAAAUUCAAUCUUGAUUAUGUGUUUAUUCUACUGUCGCAUUUGCUGGUUUAAGGUUUACUGUGUUGUUUUGUUUUGUUCAAACAUGUUAAAUUAAAUAAAUACAUUAGAGCUUUUCAGACUCACACACGAGUUUGAAAGUUUAAGCUGAGUAAGGUAUAUGACAGUUUUAACGUUCAUGGUUUUAUUUAAAUUUGUAAUUUAGUGAUCAGAGUAUUUUGAUAUGUAAAAUAGUGAUACGUGUUUUAAGUUGAUUGUCGAUUUUGUUUCCAUUUAAUAAUUUAGUUGAACGAUUUUGUUCUGUAACAUUCAAUACCAAUAUCUCUAUGUUCGCACUGUUUUGCAAAAGUCCACAAUAAUUGAAUUAUAAUAGAAUCUUGUUUGUAAAACAAUAUUCGCAUCAUCAGAUGCUUGAUUGUCUCGUGUUGACUAAACAGUAGGAUUGCUUCGUUUUUAUAAAGAAGGUGAACCUGACAUGGCCUGAAUACUUUAUCAUCGUAUAGGACAGCAAAAGUGUUCCAGAAACUCCAGCGGCUAAUCUGCAUGCAUACAAAACAAGCUUUUUGUAUGAUAAAAUUAUAUAGUGACUCAAAUGAUAUAUUUGCAUUGGCUUUGAUAUCAAUAUUUUUGUAUGACCAUUUUGGGUGGUCAGGUUGAUAGACAAGAUUGCAACAGAAAUGCUAGAAUUAAAAAUAUCUUGAGUGAUGAAAACGCAAUGCAAUAAAGCCUUUGUUCCAUAAUACAAUACUUAAUUAUUCAUAAUUAUUUAUUAAUUCACCUUUAUUUAUUAUAAUAACAUAACAACUUUGUAAAACGAAAAUGUAUUAUGUAAGAAGCACUAUUUUCACUCCAUGUAUUUUAAACGUCUGCACAUAAUCAAACGUAUAACGUAUUAAUCGUCGAUUGCCAGUCAUUAGUAAACGAGAUGUACGCUAUGGCAUGAUGUUUUAUGAGUGCUAAAGAAUGAUUACAAGUUUGUGUUAACUGCUAUAAUAACAUAUGGACAUACACGUAUGUAUUUAAAACAUGAUAAUGCUAUAAGUUACAUUGAUAAAAGGACUUUUCGAUUAAUCAUUUGUUUUCUUUCACCUUGGGAUUGAUCGGUGAAUAGGGGUUUACAUAUAACACGUUAAAGUGUAUUGAAAAUAGGCAUGUAAUAGACCUUGAUUCUUGAUUGGCUUUAUAAAUCCUAUAUGGAAGUACACGUUGUUGCUAGUAUAAAUAACGCGUUUGUUUGAUUUAAUGUUUUAGCGUGUUCAACUUUAUUAAAAGGUUCUAUUUCAUAAACAAAGAUUCUAUUUUAUCAACAAAAGUUAAUAAAUCUUACUGGGUAUAUGGCCUAUAGUCAGUCUUACGGUGGAUAUCAUUCCAAGUUAUCAAUCCAUUGUGGCCUGUUGUUUGUGAGUUUCCAAUGGUGAAAACCAAUUUCCUUUCAAAGGCAACCUUAAGCAUUCUGCAAAUGUUACGUCCUUGGUCAUUGUCAUUGAACAUUAACCAGAUUGUACUUUGUAUAAACAUGGAAAUCAUUCUGCUUGAUUGCACGUCGGAGUAAUGGAACUUGGUCCGAGACCUCACUCAAUGA